rnacentral:rRNA from 1 species
AUUGAACGCUGGCGGCAUGCCUUACACAUGCAAGUCGAACGGUAACAGGUCUUCGGAUGCUGACGAGUGGCGAACGGGUGAGUAAUACAUCGGAACGUGCCCGAUCGUGGGGGAUAACGAAGCGAAAGCUUUGCUAAUACCGCAUAAGAUCCAAGGAUGAAAGCAGGGGACCGCAAGGCCUUGCGCGAACGGAGCGGCCGAUGGCAGAUUAGGUAGUUGGUGGGAUAAAAGCUUACCAAGCCGACGAUCCGUAGCUGGUCUGAGAGGACGACCAGCCACACUGGGACUGAGACACGGCCCAGACUCCUACGGGAGGCAGCAGUGGGGAAUUUUGGACAAUGGGCGAAAGCCUGAUCCAGCCAUGCCGCGUGCAGGAUGAAGGCCUUCGGGUUGUAAACUGCUUUUGUACGGAACGAAAAGACUCUGGUUAAUACCUGGGGUCCAUGACGGUACCGUAAGAAUAAGCACCGGCUAACUACGUGCCAGCAGCCGCAGUAAAAC